AAAUCCAUCUGUGCAUAAUCCGAGAUACACAUUCCGGAUAUUGCUAGCGAAAUCUGGAUGUACUUUGUUGAAAUGUUUCCAGGCUCUUGCAUCUGAUGGGUGAGUCAUCUCACCAUCCGUCUGAGUAUGCCCGGCAUGCCAUCUCAUCUUUCCAGCAGUCUACUCUGAUUGAUACAAUCUUUUCAAUCUGUCUGUAAUUGGUAGGUACCACAUCCUUUGGUACGGUACCCUAUUACGUCCCCGUCCUUGCAGCUUGAAUCGUGGCUUCUUGCAGAAUCGACAUUCUUCUAGCUUCUCAUCAUCUCCCCAAUAGAUCAUGCAGUUGUCGAUGCAAACAUCUAUCAUCUCCGAAGGAAACCCAAGACUAUAAACCAGUUUCUGAAUCUCAUAAUAAGAAUCAGCAGACACAUUGUCUUCCGGAAAAUACUCUUUAAACAAGUCC
rnacentral:lncRNA from 1 species